UCGUCAUGUUGUUUAGUUCACUUUAACUUUCACUUUUGAUUCUGAUUCAGUCGGUAACGUUCCUGCUCCGCUCUCAGGACUUUUUGUUCCUCAAAAACUCACUGGACGAUAAAAUCAGACCGCAGGUCUAAAGAACAGGUAGACUGCCGUGAGGAAAUAAUUUAUUUAAAGCAGUUGAUUUAAUUCCGUUGCUGAACAGUUUCGUCUCAGUGUUUCAGGUCGGAUCAUGGCUGACAUGACGAAAAAGGGCGAGGAGGAGCUUCAGCUGGAAGAGGCAAAGAAAGAGCUGCAGACAUGGAAG